AUUGAACGCUGGCGGCAGGCCUAACACAUGCAAGUCGAACGGUAACAGGAAGAAGCUUGCUUCUUUGCUGACGAGUGGCGGACGGGUGAGUAAUGUCUGGGAAACUGCCUGAUGGAGGGGGAUAACUACUGGAAACGGUAGCUAAUACCGCAUAACGUCGCAAGACCAAAGAGGGGGACCUUCGGGCCUCUUGCCAUCGGAUGUGCCCAGAUGGGAUUAGCUAGUAGGUGGGGUAACGGCUCACCUAGGCGACGAUCCCUAGCUGGUCUGAGAGGAUGACCACCAAAACGGGAACGAGAGCGCGGACGGCACCCCGGGGGGAGCCACAAGGGGGAAAUUUCGAAGAGGGGCAGCAGUGCUGAACCUGCCACGACGGGGGAAAAAAAAAGGCCUUGGGGUCGCAAGAUUCUGUAGGGGGGGGGGAAGGGGAAAAAUUUAAUACAUGUACAAAUUGAGGUUACCAAACGAAGAAGCACCGGCUAACUCCGUG
rnacentral:rRNA from 1 species